UUUCCAGAGAACAGUAACUGCGCAGUCAUUCAGUGUUCUGGUGAAUGAAUCAGCACACUAGUUGCCUGGUGGGGUACUCUAUACUUUCUAAUUGAAAUGACAAUGGGAAGUUACUUUCGUCUUAGGCCAUUUGAUAUUUUGAAGAUGAACAUAAUAAAGUUACAUGAAUGGUGGAUUUUCAAGUUGAAGACUUUACUUUUUCUGUAACUCUGCAGGAACUUGAUGAUGGA
rnacentral:misc_RNA from 1 species